rnacentral:rRNA from 1 species
UACGUAGGGUGCAAGCGUUAAUCGGAAUUACUGGGCGUAAAGCGUGCGCAGGCGGUGAUGUAAGACAGAUGUGAAAUCCCCGGGCUCAACCUGGGAAUGGCAUUUGGGACUGCAAGGCUGGAGUUUGGCAGAGGAGACUGGAAUUCCCGGUGUAGCAGUGAAAUGCGUAGAUAUCGGGAGGAAUACCGAUGGCGAAGGCAGGUCUCUGGGCUAUAACUGACGCUCAUGCACGAAAGCGUGGGGAGCAAACAGG